UACCAAACUGCCCCCCGGACUCGGUUCACCCACCCACCCCCGGCACCAAAAACCUCCGCGGAACUGGAGAAACAGCUAUGGCAGCCUUUUUCCUGUCCUGCCAAGGAGUGGAGGAGGAGGAGAAACAUAGCAUGGGCAGCAUCCAUCCAUGUCUCAAAGUAACCGAAAGGAGGAGGGUGUCAAAAAAUUCAAACGGGGGAGGCGCAGUAACUCGCACUGUUUACUUUACUGUCUCCAAGAAGACGACGCAUGGAAAGAAAGAAAGAAAAAAAAAACUAGACCUGCACGGUUUUACAUACUAGCAAGGAUAUUUAUGGCGGUAG
rnacentral:misc_RNA from 1 species